GAUGAACGCUGGCGGCGUGCCUAAUACAUGCAAGUCGAGCGAACGGACGAGAAGCUUGCUUCUCUGAUGUUAGCGGCGGACGGGUGAGUAACACGUGGAUAACCUACCUAUAAGACUGGGAUAACUUCGGGAAACCGGAGCUAAUACCGGAUAAUAUUUUGCACCGCAUUGUUCAAAAGUGAAAGACGGUCUUGCUUUCACUUAUAGAUGGAUCCGCGCUGCAUUAGCUAGUUGGUAAGGUAACGGCUUACCAAGGCAACGAUGCAUAGCCGACCUCAGAGGGUGAUCGGCCAGACUGGAACUGAGACACGGUCCAGACUCCUACGGGAGGCAGCAGUAGGGAAUCUUCCGCAAUGGGCGAAAGCCUGACGGAGCAACGCCGCGUGAGUGAUGAAGGUCUUCGGAUCGUAAAACUCUGUUAUUAGGGAAGAACAUAUGUGUAAGUAACUGUGCACAUCUUGACGGUACCUAAUCAGAAAGCCACGGCUAACUACGUG
rnacentral:rRNA from 1 species